UAUAGGGAUCCAAAGAGAGGCACUGGCUAUGACAAAGGAGCCAUGGAAUUUACUUCCCCUUUUAAUUAAAGGUAGAGUGGAUGAGUGGGAGAAAGAUUUGGUGCUCGAGAAUCAGCAUAAUCUUAAGCAACUAAUUGUGCUUAUGUGGGAUCAGGUAUCUUCUCUCCCACCUGUAGGCCAGUUUCCAUGGUCACAUCCGAAUAGUGGGCUCCCAAACGCUUUAAUAGCUUCCGUAUAAUAAUCCUCACAAAAUAUUAAGCCAGCCCUGAUCUCUUUGUAUCCCCAAACAAAUCAAUUCUCUCACAGUUAAUUAGAAGCAGAAAAAAUCUCAUCUUUCCUGCUGCUGCUGCAGAGUACUAUCUGCCCAAGUUAAGGUAAGCCAUGAUCAUAGUUCUCUUUAUCCAUGCUGUCAUCCUUGGAAUAACUUACAGGAGGAUUUGUGACUUUGGAAGCCAGAAGAUUAGCUUUAUAUUGGUGAAAUAGGACUCAAGAAAGCUGUUCAAUUCCCCUGAUUUUCUUGUUUAAAUUAUCAAGAAGAUGCUUUUUGUGA